rnacentral:rRNA from 1 species
AUUGAACGCUAGCGGCAUGCUUUACACAUGCAAGUCGAACGAGUGGCGGACGGGUGAGUAAUAUAUGGGAAAGUGCCCAGUGGAGGGGGAUAACUACUGGAAAGAGUGGCUAAUACCGCAUACCAUCGGAUGGGCCGAGAUGGGAUUAGCUAGUUGGUGGGGUAAAGGCUCACCAAGGCAACGAUCCGUAGCUGGUCUGAGAGGAUGACCAGCCACACUGGGACUGAGACACGGCCCAGACUCCUACGGGAGGCAGCAGUGGGGAAUAUUGGACAAGGGGGGAAAGCCUGAUGCAGCCAUGCCGCGUGUAUGAAGAAGGCCUUCGGGUUGUAAAGUACUUUUGGCGGGGAGGCGGUAUCUGCAGAAGAAGCACCGGCUAACUACGUGCCAGCAGCCGCGGUAAUAC